rnacentral:lncRNA from 1 species
UGUGUGUAGAUAUUAACAUUUUAAUGACCACAUAUUCACUUAGGAUCUCACUUCGUAAAGGCCACAGGACUGAAAUUGAAUGAAUGCAACAACCAUGUCUCUGUCACCUGCAAACACAGUCAUAGGUGGUACUGGUAACAAAAAUUCACCCUGGGAAUUAUGCAAAUAAGACUUAAAACCCUACAGCAGGACUAUUCAAUUCCGGUCUGGAGGGCCAAAACAUUUAUGGUUUUGGAAGAACUAUUUAUGGUUCUUCAGAGACACUAAAAUGGUUCCCCUAUGGCAUCACUCUCAAUAACCAUAUUUGGUUCCAUCUUGCACCUUUAUUUUUAAGAAUGUAUUAUGUAUAUCAAUAAUGGGUAGACCCCUCUCCCUCUCUGUCUCAGCGGGAUGUAAGCUAUGGGCCCCUAUCCCUCUCUGUGUCUCUCAGUGAGACAGAAAGUAGGCUGGGGGCCCAGGGCCCUGAGUGUCUGUGUUCUAAUUGCUGUUCUGGCGAUCCAGUGAGGAGGGCCAGCCAGUACCGAGGGGAGGGCUGUUCCUUUACCACACUGAUUUAUUGGACAAUUUCACAGCAGUGUCUGCAGUAAUGGGACAGGAUAAAUGGCUGACCCCUCUCUGACUGAGAUAACUCCAGGGGAAGAGGAGAGCAUGCUGGCCUGCCUCCCCACUUGGUGUGUGUGUGGCAACUUUCCUUCCCUACUCUGUCUAUAUAACCCCCACUAAUUCUCCAUCUCUCCUUUCUUUAUCCCUCCCCUACUAUCCUAUCAUGAGCAAUUUGCUCCCACCCCAUGUCAUCCUCUCUAUCUUCCUCUCUCUAUCCCUCCGUGUGUGUGUGUCUUUCUUUCACUCUCCACAGUCCACUAUCACUCGGUAUUUAUCUAUUUUCUCCCUCCUGUCGGUCCUUUCUUUCUCUCCCCCUUCUCUCCCCCCUGCUGCCCACCCCUUUAUUCAACCCUUCCUCCUGGGCGUGUGCGUGAGUGUGUGCGUGCAUGUGUGGGGUGAUCCCAAGCCUUUUAUGGCUUGACCUGUAUGGGGGCAGGUAGAUUGCAGGUUGCACUACACAUUUCCAUAUCUGUCUGUUCUCUGUCCAUCUGUCCUAUGCUCUGCUGUGAACAGGCGAUGUCUGGCCGCCUCUCAACAGGUCCUUCACUCCGUGUGAACAGGCGAUGUCUGGCCGCCUCUCAACAGGUCCUUCACUCCAUGUGAACAGGUGAUGGCUGGCUGCCUCUCAACAGGUCCUUCACUCCGUGUGAACAGGCAAUGUCUGGCCGCCUCUCAACAGGUCCUUCACUCUGUGUGAACAGGAGGUGUCUGGCCGCCUCUCAACAGGUCCUUCACUCCGUGUGAACAGGAGAUGUCUGGCCGCCUCUCAACAGGUCCUUCACUCCGUGUGAACAGGAGAUGUCUGGCUGCCUCUCAACAGGUCCUUCACUCCGUGUGAACAGGAGAUGUCUGGCCGCCUCUCAACAGGUCCUUCACUCCGUGUGAACAGGAGAUGUCUGGCUGUCUCUUAACAGGUCCUUCACUCCGUGUGAACAGGAGAUGUCUGGCUGCCUCUCAACAGGUCCUUCACUCCGUGUGAACAGGCGUUGUCUGGCCGCCUCUCAACGGGCAUUUACACUUGGGGUAGUGAAGUGCAGUCUGGGAGGAAGGAAACAUGCUCUCACUCCUUAUCUCCCUCUCUUCAUCCCCACCCCUCUCUCUUUCAGUUUUAAUUUACCUCUCAUUUUCUCCCUCCCUCCCUCGUCUCUCCUCCUCUCUCUCUUUUCCUCACUUCAUCUCCCUCUCUUUCUCUCACUUUAGCCUCUCUCCCCCUCCCCUCCCCUUCCCUCUCUCUGUCUUUUGGCCCAGUGGUUAAUGGGAAUCAAAUGGCAUCUCCCGUGGCGUGCGUCAGACUAGCGGGCCGUGAGUGAGGGGCGGUGGGUAGGGGAGUGCCUGUCUGCUUGUGUCUCCACCACGGGACGCCCACGGCAACAGAUGACCCAUCACUGCAGAGACAGAGCCAUGGCAACACAUCUUAUUAGACCAACAGGGACCAUCUGAUAGAGCUAUUAGUGUAGGAAUGACAGGGUAAGGGCCGUUCUGAGCUCUUUAUCUGUUGUGGCUCCAACAUGGAGGACUGCUGUGCUGAGGAAGUGGUUGUCAUGCUGUGGGAACUGGGAUGGUCUGGCACUGACUUAACCUACUUAAACUUACUUUACAGUCAACAACCUUAUUGUACUAAAUUAUUAGAGGCCAAAUGAGAUAAUAGAUACUGUGUUAAAGUUAGGAUAUAUUGAUAUGUGUAAAGGAUGUGACUUUAGAGAGGGGGGUUCAACAGUGAUGAUAACUUGUGGUCAUUUUUUGAAAAACUCCUCUGGCCUCUGCCAGUAUGUAACCUUUGACCCUCCUCCCCAGUCCACACUGCAUCUGCCAGCCUUACAAAGCCACACAAAUAUCCCACACAUCACAUGUCUCUGCAUGGGGACCAGCAGAUAGCUGCUUAUCUACAUCACGUGUCUCUGCAUGGGGACCAGCAGAUAGCUGCUUAUCUACAUCACGUGUCUCUGCAUGGGGACCAGCAGAUAGCUGCUUAUCUACAUCACGUGUCUCUGCAUGGGGACCAGCAGAUAGCUGCUUAUCUACAUCACAUGUCUCUGCAUGGGGACCAGCAGAUAGCUGCUUAUCUACAUCACGUGUCUCUGCAUGGGGACCAGCAGAUAGCUGCUUAUCUACAUCACGUGUCUCUGCAUGGGGACCAGCAGAUAGCUGCUUAUCUUCACUGUUGUGUAAGGGGCUGAAGUCUCCUCUCCCAAAG